CUCAAAGAUUAAGCCAUGCAAGUGGUUAUUAUAACCCGACAGUUUAAAUAAGUGUUCUAACACGGCAAUUACGCUAUACACACACAGUGAACUGGCAAUUCACUUAUGCAACUGCAGACAGCUGCUUAAUACAGUCACACUUGUCUUGACUUGGCAAACCCACACACACACACACACACACAACCCAUCCUAUACGGAUAACUCAGGGAAAGUUUGCGCUAAUACGUACGAGUAUUACACACACAAUGACAUAUAUUCUGCACACAAUAGUAAACAUUUAAUACGUAUAUUUUUUUAUGCGUAUGUUUAAAUGCAACAUGAGAGAUAUUGUGCACGCGUAAAAUUAUUUAUGCAGAGCAGACUUUAACAAUUCUAUACUGUUGAAGCNUGUCAUACAAGCAUCUAUAGCAUCNAGUCACAGGGUUGGCAAGUGUAUUUUUGAACCUUCAAAGCAGUCACGCAUACGGAAGAGUAGUUUCUGAUCCCAUAGAAGGAGCACCGUACAAUGAGAGACCGCUCUUAGUUCUAAGGAACGCAGCAGGCGCGUAAAUUGCCCAAUGAUAGUACCCUAUAAAUAAACUAAAUACAUAAUACCUUGUACACACACCUCUUAUAUAUACACACUGAGGCAGUGACAAGCUGUAACGGUUGAGUAUUUUAAAUGACGAGUGUCUGGCAUUGCCGCUUUCUUUCGGGUUAGCUUGGUAAUUUAAUUGCCGACACUUUGUGUGCUCAAUUGGAAUGCGGUGAGUUUAAAUAACUCAGAACCUUUGAAUUUAUAUAAUAAUAAUUCAUGUAUCUGAAUUUCAAGUGGAGGGCAAGUCUGGUGCCAGCAGCCGCGGUAAUACCAGCUCCACUGGCCUAUACAAUCAUUGUUGCGUUAAGAGGUCGUAGUUGGAUUGAACUACUAAAAUAUACAUGCGUAACUACACACACGCAUACGCAUUGUAUAUAUACACACGACACACAACACUGUGAACAAAUCAGAAUGUAUCAAAUAUGUAUUUUAUUUAUAAUGCGCAUUGAAUGUCUUAUCAUGGAAUGUUGCCUAUAUAUUUAUAUAUAUACACNCGCGAUACACAUUUAAAAUGUCGAUGGGGAUAGUUGGAGUUAACAGUACUGCUGGGCGAGCGGUGAAAUGCAUUGACCCUAGCAAGACUACCAAAAGCGAAAGCNGUUGGCUAGGCUAUACUCUUUGUGAUAUUAUAUAUACGUAUACACACACACACACUGUAUAUAUAUACACUUUACAAUGAAGAACGAAGGUUGGGGGAUCAAAGAGGAUCAGAUACCCUCGUCGUCCCAUUUUAUACAUCAAACGAUGGGCUCUCAAUUGCAUUUAUUAUUAAGUAUAUUUUAUUGUAUACGUAUAAUUUUGCAAAUAUAAAUCCUCCUAACCAAAUAACCACAGCUUGAGUCUUACGGCUCGCUGUAACUUUAAGGUCUCGACGGACGUUUCAUUUUAUACAUUACGUAAAAACAACUAUUUUGCGUGUAAGCUAUUACAAUUCUUUUAUAGAAUUCGUAUUAAGCGUGCAUUUGAUUUUCGGAGCUUUGCGCUCAAAUUUAAAUAUCUGGUGAGAUGUAAGCAUCAACGAUACUAAUAUUUAAUCACAUAACAUACUAUACGUAUGCGUAUGCUUGUAUUAAUAUAUUUUAUCAUUUUAAAAUACGGUGUGAGGCACGUAUUAGGCACGCGCUUACUGCAGAAAUGUCUGAGAUAUUCCCCUCCGGGGGUAGUAUGCACGCAAGUGUGAAACUUGAAGGAAUUGACGGAAGGGCACCACAAGAACGCGUGGAGCAUGUGGCUUAAUUUGACUCAACGCGGGAAAUCUUACCGGGUCCGGACACACUGAGGAUUGACAGACAAUCACACUAAUCUUAUAUGUAUAUUUAUUUAUACGCGUAAGUUAGUGUCAAAUAAAGAUGCUAGUUCUUUCAUGAUUAUGUGAUAGGUGGUGCAUGGCCGUUCUUAGUUCGUGGAGUGAUCUGUCUGCUUAAUUGCGUUUCACAAUUAAAAUACGAAUAUACGCAUAUUAUGAUUGCUUGACCCCAUAAAUUUAUUUUUAUGCGCUGCGUCUCGUAUCUUAUAUGCAUUCGUUAUUUCGAAAGCAACGAACGUGACCGUAUCCUUUUGUUAAAUGUAUAUAUACAUUUUAAAAACUAAAGGGACCGCUGUUUCUUUCUUAAACCAGAGGAAGGUUACGGCAAUAACAGGUCUGUGAUGCCCUUAGAUGUUCCGGGCUGCACACGUGCUACAAUGAUUAUUUCAGUAAGUAUCUCAUUAUAAAUAGAAUGUACUUUACGUACAUCUAAAUCCUACCUCGAAAGUAAGGUGGGUAAUCAAUUAGAAGUAAUGAUUUCCUAAAAUAUUUUGUACAAAAAUAUACAGCGUAUUCAUAUCCCAUAAACAUAUUUAUUAUGUGCAUGCGUGUGUAUGAUACGUAAAUAUUACUUUUAUGUAUUAUUUUUUCUGUAUGUACAAUUGUUAAUUCAUGGUGGGGACAGACCAUUGUUAAUUAUUGGUCUCGGUCUUAACUAGGAAUGCCUUGUACGGGUCUUUGGUUCAUCAAACCACCCGGACUACGUCCCUGCCCUUUGUACACACCGCCCGUCGCUCUUACCGAUGAACUUUACUAUGAAUUUGAGGGAAAGACCUUUGAGUCGCAAACUUAAAUGAAUAGUGUGGUUUAAAGGAAAGAGAAGUCGAACAAGGCA
rnacentral:rRNA from 1 species